GUUCUAGUGUUCUACAACAGCAGGUUGAAGUGUUCUAGUGUUCUACAACAGCAGGUGAAGUGUUCUAGUGUUCUACAACAGCAGGUGAAGUGUUCUAGUGUUCUACAACAGCAGGGGAAAUGUUCUAGUGUUCUACAACAGCAGGUGAAGUGUUCUAGUGUUCUACAACAGCAGGUUGAAGUGUUCUAGUGAUCUACAACAGCAGGUGAAGUGUUCUAGUGUUCUACAACAGCAGGUUGAAGUGUUCUAGUGUUCUACAACAGCAGGUUGAAGUGUUCUAGUGUUCUACAACAACAGGUGAAGUGUUCUAGUGUUCUACAACAGCAGGUGAAGUGUUCUAGUGUUCUACAACAGCAGGUUGAAGUGUUCUAGUGUUCUACAACAGCAGGUUGAAGUGUUCUAGUGUUCUACAACAGCAGGUGAAGUGUUCUAGUGUUCUACAACAACAGGUGAAGUGUUCUAGUGUUCUA
rnacentral:lncRNA from 1 species